rnacentral:lncRNA from 1 species
GUUCCUUCAUGUGUUCAGUGGCAGGUCUGAAAACUCCUGUGACAUUUCCAGCUAGGUUUGUUAUGAGAGAGAUCUACUUUACUUCUGAAUAACCUGUGUCUGGUUAGGAAGACUAAGAUGGAAAGAAAUGGCUUCAUCCCAUUCAAGAUGACACAUGCAGCUCAAAAAAUGGGAACUUUGGGCUGCUUGGAAAUCAAGAGACCUGGAUAUAGGCACCUAACUGUAAGCUGUGGUGUUCCCUGCCCUUUCCCCAGUGUUUAAUCUGUAAGUGCAAGAUAAGGUAUGUUUCUAGUUUAGGAAUGCUGUUCCUUUCUCAGAAAGGAACCCUGAAAGCUUAGCA